AGGAUGUUGGGUUAAGUCCCGUAACGAGCGCAACCCUUGUCCUUAGUUACCAGCACGUUAUGGUGGGCACUCUAAGGGGACUGCCGGUGACAAACCGGAGGAAGGUGGGGAUGACGUCAAGUCAUCAUGGCCCUUACGGCCUGGGCUACACACGUGCUACAAUGGUCGGUACAAAGGGUUGCCAAGCCGCGAGGUGGAGCUAAUCCCAUAAAACCGAUCGUAGUCCGGAUCGCGGUCUGCAACUCGACUGCGUGAAGUCGGAAUCGCUAGUAAUCGUGAAUCAGAAUGUCACGGUGAAUACGUUCCCGGGCCUU
rnacentral:rRNA from 1 species